rnacentral:rRNA from 1 species
AGAGUUUGAUCAUGGCUCAGAUUGGACGCUGGUGGCAUGCCUUACACAUGCAAGUCGAACGGCAGCGCGGCAGCAAUCCUGGCGGCGAGUGGCGAACGGGUGAGUAAUAUAUCGGAACGUGCCCUGGAGUGGGGGAUAACUAGUCGAAAGACUAGCUAAUACCGCAUACGAUCUAAGGAUGAAAGUGGGGGAUCGCAAGACCUCAUGCUCGUGGAGCGGCCGAUAUCUGAUUAGCUAGUUGGUGGGGUAAAAGCCUACCAAGGCGACGAUCAGUAGCUGGUCUGAGAGGACGACCAGCCACACUGGGACUGAGACACGGCCCAGACUCCUACGGGAGGCAGCAGUGGGGAAUUUUGGACAAUGGGGGGCACCCUGAUCCAGCAAUGCCGCGUGUGUGAAGAAGGCCUUCGGGUUGUAAAGCACUUUUGUUCGGAAAGAAUCGCCCUGGCUAAUAUCCGGGGUGGAUGACGGUACCGGAAGA